rnacentral:rRNA from 1 species
UACGGGGGGAGCAAGCGUUGUUCGGAUUUACUGGGCGUAAAGGGCGCGUAGGCGGUCGUGACAAGUCACUUGUGAAAUCUCCGGGCUUAACUCGGAAAGGUCAACCGAUACUGCGGGGCUAGAGUGCAGAAGGGGCAACUGGAAUUCUCGGUGUAGCGGUGAAAUGCGUAGAUAUCGAGAGGAACACCUGCGGCGAAGGCGGGUUGCUGGGCUGACACUGACGCUGAAGCGCGAAAGCUAGGGGAGCGAACGGG